AAAUUCUCGGCCGCGGUGAGCCCUGACGUCAGGAACAGGCUGCUCCAUCGCAGCGGUGCUGGUGGGAAGCUCGGGCAGGUCGUGAGCGAGGCAGUGUUUGUCAUGGAGUGCGCACACAGCACUGUAACAACUAUGAUCAAUAUGUCCCCAGGAGACACUGUAACUGGCAAGUACAAAAACAUACAAAAGUACAAACUGGCAAGUAAAAAAACGUGGUUCCAGCGCAUCCUGCCGUGCUUGGCUGAUGUCUAUAAAACCAUGAGGACGCGUGUAAGCACCCCCUUAUGUACACCGAGGUGGUAAGCCCCCCCAGAAGACCUCGGAGGCCAGCAAUUCUGCUACUUCCAGUAUCAAAGCUUUGGGGAGCUCUGCUGGGCGCACCGAUCGGACGGGCCCCGGGGCUGCUGGGCAGAGCCCCCCUCUCGGGCAGACCCCGCUGCCCCCACGCAGCUCCGCUCCCCCCGCACAGCUCCGCAGGUCCCGGGGGGCUGCAGGGCCUUCGGCGAGCUCCAACACAGCGAGAUGCGGCCACGGGCACGCAGCGCCCCGAGCUCCGACAGCCCCCUGCGGAGGGAGCCCCCACGCUCCUGCGCUCGUCCGCCUGGAGCUCGGAGCCCCCCGGGCACCUGCUGGUGGCCGGGCCCCCCGGGGUCGGGCAGGGCUCGGGGCUCGCCCCGGUGGCAGCGGGGUGGCACCGGGACCCCAGCCCCGGCCCGGGGCCGCGCUCACCGGGACCGGCCCCGCGGCGGGCGGGAUAAAGUGUAACGCAAGUGAAGUCUCUAUGAGAGGGUCCUCGCCUGAGCAGCCUCCUGAAGUGGAGAUCCAGUGAAGCCAUUAUCAAUUAAAGGAUGCUUGUGCACAGAGACCUGACCCCACCCCACAAAUACAGCUGCUGAACUCAGAACGUGUCCAUGUCUUGAUUUUGAUACUUUUAGGCUGAAAAUCCAAAAACAUAGGAACUUGAAACCUGUGCCUGCUUUUCAGGCCUGAGCUGUAGGUCAUCACCAGUGUGGGAGAGGAGAUGGGAACCCCUGAAAGCCGCUGGGCAGUGCCAAAAACAGACAUGUUUGGGACUGUUCUAGGCCAUGGUCCCUGUGGGAAGGGUGAGAAAGAAUUGAGCUGAAAUAGCCUCUCACCCCAACACUGAGAUCUGUGUGCCACUGGGUGACCACAGGGUGGGAUACCCAGGUCAGGCAUGGGACAGACAGUUCCAGCUUCAACAACAUAGUAUUGAUUUGCAGGUGUUAAAAAUCAACUUUUGGCCUGCCUAGGCCACAUAUAUGUCAAGUGGGUCAAGGGGGCUUGUGGACCUUAUUUCAUUAAAACCAUGAAUUCCUACUCUAGAGUCAAUCUGAGCCAGGGGUUGUGUGCUAUAGUAUAUGUGUUGGGGCUGGGCAGCCAUAAGGCAUGCACAUGCUAGCAGCUGGAGACAGAGAAUUUUUGCAAAUAUUCCAAUUUUGGGAGCUUGAAAAUCUAAUUUUGAAAUGUUCAUUCCUGUGAUGUCAGGUCACAAUUUUCCUGACUAUAAGAAUAGAAAAAGAAAGUAUAUGGGUAAAGACAAUCUGUCUGUUUUUAUUUCAGCAACUAAAUCUAGAUUUACUGCUUAA